rnacentral:rRNA from 1 species
GACAGAGGAUGCAAGCGUUAUCCGGAAUGAUUGGGCGUAAAGCGUCUGUAGGUGGCUUUUUAAGUCCGCCGUCAAAUCCCAGGGCUCAACCCUGGACAGGCGGUGGAAACUACCAAGCUAGAGUACGGUAGAGGCAGAGGGAAUUUCCGGUGGAGCGGUGAAAUGCGUUGAGAUCGGGAGGAACACCAAGGGCGAAAGCACUCUGCUGGGCCGUCACUGACACUCAGAGACGAAAGCUAGGGGAGCAAAUGGG